rnacentral:lncRNA from 1 species
UCCAUCAACUCAUAGAACAUAUAUAUCAGCCCAGAUAGUUUCACAUAAGAAUUAUUACUAAGCUUCCAUAGGAUAGGUUAUUACAAUGCUAUUUGAACUUUUCCAGGACAUAUAAAAAGUUGCAAAAUUUUUUAUAUAAGGUGGAUAACGUUGACACCAACAUGUAACAAAAAUUGUACAAAAAAACCUACAUGUUAAUCUCACUUGCAAAUAUACAUAUUACAGUUGUAAAUAUAACAACAGCAAUUAGAUUCAAACAGCUCAUUAAAAGACUAGUAGCAGGACCACAAAGUUUCCAUUUCAGAAAUGCCAGGAUAGAUUAGUAUUAGGAAAGGUAUUCAUUACAAGUCAGCAUAUGAUAUGGUUUCACUUUGUGUCCCCACCCAAAUCUCAUCUCCAUUUGUAAUCCCCAGGUAUUGAGGGAGGGACCUGGUGGGAGGUGAUUGAAUCAUGGCAACAGUUUCCCCCAUGCUGUUCUCUUGAUAGUGAGGAAGUUCUCAUGAGAGCUGAUGUUUUGAAAGUGUUUGGAAGUUCCCCCUUGCCCUAGUCUCUCCUGCUGCCGUGUAAGACUUGUCUUGCUUCCCCUUCUGCCAUGAUUGCAAGUUUCCUGAGGCCUCCCCAGCCAUGUGGAACUGUGACUCAAUUAAGCCUCUUUCCUUUAUAAAUUACCCAGUCUUGGGUAUUUUUUAUAGCAGUGUGAAAACAGACUAAUACAACAUAUUAAUAGAUUUUAGGAGAAAAUUUUUAACAUAUUGAUGCUGAAAAGGCAUUUGACCCAUUCUUAAAACACUUUUUAAAAAGAAAUUUGUAAACAGUAGAAUUAGGAACACAGUAAGGAUGCUCAUUAUUACCUUUUCCAUUUAAUAUUGUGCUGGAAGUAUUUGCCACUUUUAUUGGACAAAAGCAUGAUACUUCAUUUAUAAACACUGGGAAAAAGAAGGUUAAAUUCUCCCUAUUUGUGGAUAAUAUGGCCUGGAAAAUCUAAAAGAAUCGACUGAAAAUCUUUACAAACAAAAAGAGACUGCAGCAAAUAAAUGGGCUAUAAAAAUUAAUACGUAGGAAUCUAUAGCUUUCAUAUAUAACAACAGCAAUGAGUUGGAAAAUGUAGUGGCAUAGAUGCUUUUGUUUUUAUUAGCAACAGAAAAUAUAAAUAUCUAAAUAUAAACUUCACAAGAAUCAUGUAAACUUACAUGAGGAAAAGUUUAAAACACUCCUGAAACACACCAAGAGCGGACAUGGAGUCUUCAUUCUAACAAUCUGUGUAUUGGUUUGAAUAAUUCAAUACCCAAUGUCUUUAAUUAUCUAACCAUGGUUAAGGCACUCCCUUGCCAAAGAUUUUAGGGAUGGAUGUGUGACCCGUUGCUGGCCAUUGAGAUGUGAGGCAAUAUCUGCUGGCAUAGGGCAAAAGUCUCUCACCCUUAAAUGGAACCCCAAGGAAGAUGCAGACUCUUCCUUUCUGCAGAUCUUAUCAUGUCUGGAUAUGAUGCCUGAAACUGCCACAGUUACUUUGCAACCAUGCCCAGGGCCAGCACGGUCAGGAUGCUAAGUGGAGACCUGGUAGGAACUGGGCUUCUUGGUGACAUCCUCGAGGCAUUGAUUAUGUGCUGCUUGGAGCCACCAACCUGUGGACUUCCUGAUAACAUAAGCUGGAUUCCUCAAAGGACCAUUCUGAAGAACAAGUAAAAAAAGUCUAUGUUUAAGGUAUGAUGAAAACCAUCAUCAGUCAGUAGAAGGUGAGAAUGAGAGCAGGUUGACCUUCAGACCUGUGGAUCAAGAAGAAACAUGAGAUGACCACAGAAAAUACGGUUGCUGAUCCCUGCCUUCAAGGAAUGCUGGCCAGUUUUCUGGAGACUCCCAGCCUCUCAGCUGAGACCACAGGUAGUUGGUCAGACUCUAUACUGCAGGAGGUACCCUGUGCACAUGAGUCUUUAGAUCUGCCUGCUUUUGACCUUUGCCCCAAUGCCAUUCUGCAUUAGAGCGCUGCUGGACUCUGCUAAAAGACCUACCCAAAGAUGACGGUCUUCCUGCCAAGGGCUAUGCCCUGUGAUUGGCCCAGACAACCUACUUUGCCAUGUGUCACCAAAUUCCUUGCAUAUACUGCUCUGUCACCUCCCAGCACCUCCACAAUUUGGCCUAGCACUUCAAUGCACUUGUUCACUUAUCCAUGGAUUCGACCCUGUCUACCACUGAGCAGCUCCUAUAGUCUUUCACUUCGAAAAGUGAUCCAUUGUAACAAUCUUCUAAAUGACUAGUGCCACCCCCUGUUUAAAACAGGAUUGUAUUUCCUAAAACUCAAUAUGCAAAGUUUCUGAAACAUAGCUACUGCAUUGAGUAAGACCCACUGUUAACUGUGAAUUCAACUCGAAAUUUUUCUCUCCUCUUUGGAGUCAGGCAUUGUAGCCAGCCAUAGCUCCCUAUCCCUGACCUUACCCUAGUUGCUCCUUUUAUACCUUU